rnacentral:rRNA from 1 species
ACGCACGCUGGCGGCGUGCUUAACACCUGCCAGUCGAACGCUGAAGACAAGAAUCGAAGCUUCGGCAGAAAUUCAUUUCGGAUUAGUGGCAGACGGGUGAGUAACGCGUGAGCAACCUACCUCUUACAAAGGGAUAGCCUCGGGAAACCGGGAUUAAUACCAUAUAACAUUGCGACGAAGCAUUUCGAUGCAAUCAAAGCUACGGCGGUAAGAGAUGGGCUCGCGUCCCAUUAACCGGAUGGUGAGGUAACGGCUCACCAUAGUGACGAUGGGUAACCGGCCUGAGAGGGUGAACGGUCACACUGGAACUGAGACACGGUCCAGACUCCUACGGGAGGCAGCAGUGGGGAAUAUUGCACAAUGGAGGGAACUCUGAUGCAGCGACGCCGCGUGAGUGAUGAAGGAAUUCGUUUCGUAAAACUCUGUUCUAUGGGAAGAAAAGGACUGUACCAUAGGAGAAAGCUCCGGCUAAAUACGUG